AUAGCCUCCCUCCCACAUACAAGGGGCAUGUACCCCUCCCUCACACGCUAUCACAUCAUAUACCCCGACAUCUACCCAAGC
rnacentral:lncRNA from 1 species